rnacentral:lncRNA from 1 species
GAAUAGUAGAAGAGCAAGCAAAGGAACUGGAGUUUUCAUCCCUCGUUCUUCACAACCAAGAAGAAAAAACAGACAUUUUUCGUCAAACACCAAGAUCCAAGGACAUACCGAAAGAGAACUUAAUCAAGUCACUUAUAACAAUAGCCUACCUCAUUAUAAUUCACUAAAUCCUAGAAAGUUUUCUUAAAUCGUGUUUAAGUUUCAAGAAUUUACAUUAUAACUAAAUAAGUUAACUACAAGUAACUUAAUUUUUUUGGGGUUUAUUAUGUACAGAGGGAUAUCCUUCUUUUAAUUUGUAGUAGUAUGUUUUAGAGAGCUUCGGCCCAAGGCAAAAGUGCCUCUCUUUGUUAGUGGGAGUUGAUAUUUGUUUCUAAGUUUGAUAUUGUGCAAGCUUCUCAUGGUUGAUUAAAUACAAUUGUUUCUGUUGUUUUACGUACUCAUUUACUUUAGAGUAUGACUAUGGCUCUGUAUGUCAUGUUAAAGCAGUAAUAACAUUUCUUAAAAGGUAAACUUUUUUAUUCGAAAAAUUGAGAUCAAAAUGAGUAGGGGUGGGCAUUCAGGCCGUUCGGAUUGAAUAUGAGAAUUUCGGUUUGAAUUUUCAAUUUUCGGAUCGAAGAAAUGACAAUCCCAAUCCAAUCCAAAUAAGUUCGGAUUGGGUCAGAUUUUUUAAGUUCGGUUUUGAUUAAUUGGUUGGGAUAUUAUGGAUUUUCGAUUUUGAGCCUAUAAGUUGAGAUGUCGUGGUGCAUGUUAUUUGCAGACGACAUUGUUUUGAUUAACGAGACGCGAGACGGUGUUAACGCGAGGUUAGAGGUAUGGAGACAGACCCUGGAGUCUAAAAGUUUCAAGUUGAACAGAACCAAAAUAAAAUACUUGGAGUAUAAAUUUAGUGGUGCUACUCAUGGAGUGGAAGGAGAGGCGAGGUUGGAUUCACAAGUCAUUCCUAGGAGGAGAAGUUUUAAGCACCUUGGGUCUAUUAUACAAGGGGUGGGAGAUUGAUAAAGAUGUCACAUAUCGUAUUAGGGCGGGAUGAAUGAAAUGUAGACUUGCUUCCGGUGUUUUGUAUGACAAAAAGGUACCACCAAAACUUAAAGGUAUGUUUUAUAGAGCGGUGGUCAAACCGUUUAUGUUGUAUGGGGCUGAGUGUUGGCAAGUCAAGAGCUCCCACGUCCAAAAGAUGAAGGUAGCAGAGAUGAGGAUGUUGAGAUGGAUGUGCAGACACACCAGAUUAGAUAGGAUUAGGAAUGAAGUUAUUCGGACAAGGUGGGUGUGGCCCCCUAUUGAGGACAAGAUGUGGGACACACAACUUAGAUAGUUUGGACAUGUGAGAAGGAGAAGCACAUACACCCCGGUAAGGAGGUGUGAGAGGUUGACAUUGGAUGGCCUUAAGAGAGGUAGAAGUAGGCUGAAGAAGAGUUGGGGUGAUGUGAUUACGCAUGACAUGACAGCUACAACUGACCGAGGACAUGACCCUAGAUAGGAAAGUGUGGAUAUCGAGAAUUAGAAUAGUAGGUUAGGUAGUCUAGAUUAUUUAUAUCGGUAGUGUUAGUACGUACUCUCGCAUUUGGUUAGUAUUAUGUUUCUUUGAAUACCUGCCGUUAGGGGUGUUCAUGGUUCGGUUUGGAUCGGUUUUUCCUAAAAAGAAACCAAACCAAGUAAGUCAGUUUUUCAAAUAUUAGAACCAAACCAAACCAAUUAAGUCGGUUUUUCUCGAUUCGGUUUAUGUCGGUUUUUUGGUUUUUUCGGUUAUUUAUUGGUUUUUUCUUAAAUAUAAGACAUACACUACCAAACAUAUAUUCCGGCGACCACAUUUUCAAUGUAACACUAUCAAAUCAAUUACCCUUUGAGAAAUCUAUUAUUUACCAAAAUAUAUUGAUGAUAAUUGAAUUAAAUAGUGAUGAAUGAUUUAAGGACUCAAUUAAAAUAUAUUAUUUUUAAUACGAAAUGGAUUCUUACACUAAACAAAUGAAAACUACCAAUCAAACUAGAAUGUAAAGGUAAAGAACUAUAUUAAAAGUGCAAACUAUUAGCAUUUGCUAUAAAUUUUUUGAAAUUGUGUAUAACAAUAUACAUAUAUAUAUAUAUAGGUGUAAUAAUAAAUUUGAAAUAACUACUCAUAUAUUCGGUUUGGUUCGGUUUUUUUCUGAUUAAAACCAAAACCAAACCAAAUUUGAUCGGUUUUUAAAAUUCAAAACCAAACCAAAAAGUAACAGUUUUUUUGGUCNNNNNNNNNNNNNNNNNNNUUUAAAAUUCAAAACCAAACCCAAAAAGUAACAGUUUUUUUGGUCGGUUUGGUUUUCGGUUUGGUUCGGUUUUUCCGAUUUUUAUGAACACCCCUACUUGCCUUUUUUUUCGUAUUUUUUUUUGCAUUUCGAUCAUCUUAUUAUCUUGUUAUGUAUGCUGCUUUUAUAUGAUUUCCGGUGUUGUCGUGUCUUGUUUUCUUGUUAUUAUUGUGGUACCUAUGCUUUCCUGAGCCGAGGGUCUAUUGGAAAUAGCAUCUCCACCUCCAUAAGGUAGGGGUAAGGUCUACGUACACACUUCCCUCCCCAGACCCUACUAUGUGGGAUUAUACUUGAUAUAUUGUUGUUGUAGCGUAUAAGUUGAGAUGUUUCUACUUUUUACAAAAAUGAACAUCCAAAUGAAGUACUCAUGUUAAUUUGCCUGAAAAAUUCUACAUUCUUGCCGCAUUCUUUCAAAUAUAAUAUUCAAGUAAUGAAAUUAUUAUUAAAAAAAUACAACAGAGACAUUAAUAUGGCCGAUAAGAAGUACAUAGCAAUAGUAAAAUCAUGUCCAGAUAGAAAAUAUUUUGACAGUAGUUUAGUAAUUAAUAUUGAAUAUGUCACCCCUCCUUUUUCACUACCUCCCGAGAAGGGUAUAGAUAAGGGAGUUUUUUCCAACUUAAAGUGACAAUCGAAACGGGUUUAUUUUUAUUAAAAAUUCAGAGUCGCCACUUGGGAUAAUUUUAUGGUGUCCCAAGUCACUGGUUCAAAUCCCAAAUCAAGGAAAAGAUUGACUCUGUUUUACAGUCCACGAACACAGAAAUCCGGGUAAAGAAUUCUGUUAACCCGGGAGAAGGUGUUAGGCAUUCCCGGAUUCCGUGAUUUUAGCACGGUCGCUCAACUGUUAUAAUUGGCCUAUUAUCUGAUUUUAAUAGAUGUUUUAACCUAUGAUGCAAUUUUAGCUUUAUAAUCGCUUUUAGACAUUUUUAAAGAAAGAUUUGCAACGUCAUUUAAAAUAUGUCUUGAACCACAUCACAUAAAUGCACCCGUAGUCCGCAACACCUUUUAUAUAACAUUGUUGAGUUUUGGAUUUGGGUCACAUAAAUGCGCACCCGAGUUUAGGAAAGUAAUUUUAAAAUAGCGCGCCUAAAAAACCUAUGCACUUUCAACUUUGCGAGGGCCAUGGAAAAUUCAACUAAAUAGCACGCCUCGAUUUUUAAGGAUUCCAGCAAAAUUAUUUAAACGAGGGCCAUGCAAUUGUCAUUUUUGUUUGGCACGGCGCACCUCAGUAUAUUCUGAUCAAGAGGUUUCUAAAUUAAAUUAUGAGGGUCAUGCUAUUUGUAUUGUCUAAUAUAGCACACCUCCAAUCAUUUGUGUUUUUGUUUUAUUUCCAAUCCCACUCAAAAAUUCCAUAGACCCAAGCUUAUCUUUUGAUUCAGAAUUUUACACCCAUUACUAAUUCUUAAUCCCAGAACUCUAUUUCCAUUUUAAAAAUCCUUGAGUUCAGUGCCUGUUUUGAUUUUUAUUUUUCAAUUCUUUCUAACAACAAAGCCAAUGCCGCUAACAAGAAAUCAUCGUCCAUAUAAACAAAAGCAAAACUAGAUUUCAUAUCCACACUAUCAACCUUGCCAUAUCUUUUGAAAAGCCUUUCCUUGGCUUAUGCAUCCAAAUUUGCAGUACAUGUCAAUAAGCGAGAAAAUCAAAAAGGCAUUGGAUAUAUUUCCAAUUUUAAUCACUUGCGCAUGGGAUACUUCUUUGGUCAAGCACAACGAAAAUACCUCUUAGAACAACCAAAAUAACGAUUUUAGAGUAUGAAUGGCAUGCUAGAUAGUACAGCUAAUAGUGCUAAUUAUGCUCUCGAGGAGAAAAACUUAUCUAAGAAACCAUGGAAACAUACAGUGGCAUGUAACUCCUUAAACAUUCAGAUAAUUUGUCUUUCACUUGGCAAUCUAAGAAAAUCGAAAGAUCUUCACAAUUUGGUUACAUAUAUAAAUCAGUUGAAGGAAAGCAAAUUAACAAUGCUGAAAAUCCCAUUUCUCCAAAAAUUGUGAAGUAUCGAACUCUGUCUCAUCCUUAAGAUCGACUCGGAAUCGUAUUUACCAAAAAUGAAGAUUUUAAAUAUAACUUCCUAAUAACGUUUCAAUUCAUAUGAAGCCGAAUCUUAACAUUAAAGGGCCAGGAUAUGAAGAUAGCUCAAACAGCAAAACCUAGUUAGAUAAGGAAUCUGCCACGACAAACUUGAAUUAACCUUUCGAACACCGUUAGCAUUUACAAUAUUUCGAAAACAGGCAACUCAUUCAACGUUGUUCACAAAUGAAAUCAGAAAAGCGGCAAAUCAAGAAACUUCUCAUUAAAACAGAUCUUACAAUAGCUUGAAAGAGAACGUACCUAAUUACGCAAGGACGAGAUUUAGAAGACAAAGAAGCCAAAUAACGAUUGAAACAAAAAAUUGGAGCUCAGCUAGCAACGUGGGAGCAACAUCAACCAAACAACUCCCCUUUUCGAGUUAUACCCAAACCCAAAACCCAGCUAAACACUCCAAUUUCGAGCUUUUCGAGUGAUGAAAAAGUUCUUUGAAGGUUCAGCUCUCCAAUUGAAUUUUUAAGCUACUGUCAAUUCUCAACAACUUUUCGUUACUGUAUUUUUUGAGAGAAAUGCAGUGUAAUAUGAAGAGAGAUUUGUGUGCUCAAGAGAAAAGCAAAAGAAGCGGUUGAGUUUUUCAUUUUGAUGAGGAAGAAGAUCAAGCUCCAAAGGAGUCCUUCUGCGCCGUUCCUCUAUAUGCGUCCCUCUCUCAUUUUUUUUAGCUCCCCUCCAAAUAAUGUGUAUUUAGGGUAUAUAGAGG